CUGUCGCAACCUACCCUUCGGCGGGAGGGCGACGCGAGACUCGCGGGAUGCGUGUUCCACGAAAGGAAUACGCGCGGAGUCGCCACCAACGUUUAUUUGAGGAAAACGUCGGAAAAACCGGAAAAGACGCGAUCUACGAACUUUUUAGUGAAAGGUUCGGGAGUUGUAUUCACGCACGGGGAAGGUAUUAGCACCCCACGCGUCCGUCCCAAGGGACGGCAGCCUUUAAUCGAAUGUGCAAACAUGACUUUGAUUUUU
rnacentral:lncRNA from 1 species